rnacentral:rRNA from 1 species
AGGUUAAGUUAAUAAGGGCGCACGGUGGAUGCCUUGGCACUAGGAGCCGAAGAAGGACGUGACAAACGACGAUAUGCCUUGGGUAGCUGUAAGUAAGCGAUGAUCCAGGGAUUUCCGAAUGGGGGAACCCAACAGGUACUACCUGUUACCCAUAUCUGUUAAGGAUGUGAGGAGGAAGACGCAGUGAACUGAAACAUCUAAGUAGCUGCAGGAAGAGAAAGCAAAAGCGAUUGCCUUAGUAGCGGCGAGCGAAACGGCAGGAGGGCAAACCGAAGAGUUUACUCUUCGGGGUUGUAGGACUGCAAUGUGGACUCAAAGAUUAUAGAAGAAUGAUUUGGGAAGAUCAGCCAAAGAGAGUAACAGCCUCGUAUUUAAAAUAGUCUUUGUACCUAGCAGUAUCCUGAGUACGGCGGGACACGAGAAAUCCCGUCGGAAUCUGGGAGGACCAUCUCCCAACCCUAAAUACUCCCUAGUGACCGAUAGUGAACCAGUACCGUGAGGGAAAGGUGAAAAGCACCCCGGGAGGGGAGUGAAAUAGAACCUGAAACCGUGUGCCUACAACAAGUUCGAGCCCGUUAAUGGGUGAGAGCGUGCCUUUUGUAGAAUGAACCGGCGAGUUACGAUAUGAUGCGAGGUUAAGUUGAAGAGACGGAGCCGCAGGGAAACCGAGUCUGAAUAGGGCGCAUUAGUAUCAUGUCGUAGACCCGAAACCAUGUGACCUACCCAUGAGCAGGUUGAAGGUGCGGUAAGACGCACUGGAGGACCGAACCAGGGCACGUUGAAAAGUGCUUGGAUGACUUGUGGGUAGCGGAGAAAUUCCAAACGAACUUGGAGAUAGCUGGUUCUCUCCGAAAUAGCUUUAGGGCUAGCGUCGACAUUAGAGAUUCUUGGAGGUAGAGCACUGUUUGGGUGAGGGGUCCAUCCCGGAUUACCAAUCUCAGAUAAACUCCGAAUGCCAAAGAAUUAUGGUCGGCAGUCAGACUGCGAGUGCUAAGAUCCGUAGUCGAAAGGGAAACAGCCCAGACCACCAGCUAAGGUCCCAAAAUAAUUGUUAAGUGGAAAAGGAUGUGGGGUUGCACAGACAACUAGGAUGUUAGCUUAGAAGCAGCUAUUCAUUCAAAGAGUGCGUAAUAGCUCACUAGUCGAGUGACCCUGCGCCGAAAAUGUACCGGGGCUAAAACAAUUUACCGAAGCUGUGGAUACCUUUAUAGGUAUGGUAGGAGAGCGUUCUAUGUGUGAUGAAGGUAUACCGUGAGGAGUGCUGGAACGCAUAGAAGUGAGAAUGCCGGUAUGAGUAGCGAAAGACAGGUGAGAAUCCUGUCCACCGUAAGACUAAGGUUUCCAGGGGAAGGCUCGUCCGCCCUGGGUUAGUCGGGACCUAAGGAGAGACCGAAAGGUGUAUCCGAUGGACAACAGGUUGAUAUUCCUGUACUAGAGUAUGUAGUGAUGGAGGGACGCAGUAGGCUAACUAAAGCAGACGAUUGGAAGUGUCUGUCUAAGCAGUGAGGUGUGAUAUGAGUCAAAUGCUUAUAUCUAUAACAUUGAGCUGUGAUGGGGAGCGAAGUUUAGUAGCGAAGUUAGUGACGUCACACUGCCAAGAAAAGCUUCUAGCGUUUAAACAUACUCUACCCGUACCGCAAACCGACACAGGUAGUCGAGGCGAGUAGCCUCAGGUGAGCGAGAGAACUCUCGUUAAGGAACUCGGCAAAAUGACCCCGUAACUUCGGGAGAAGGGGUGCUGACUUUACGUCAGCCGCAGUGAAUAGGCCCAAGCAACUGUUUAUCAAAAACACAGCUCUCUGCUAAAUCGUAAGAUGAUGUAUAGGGGGUGACGCCUGCCCGGUGCUGGAAGGUUAAGAGGAGUGCUUAGCGGUAACGCGAAGGUAUGAAUUGAAGCCCC